rnacentral:piRNA from 1 species
CGGCCAUCUUGGAAGCUGAGCGGCG